rnacentral:rRNA from 1 species
UACGUAGGGGGCUAGCGUUGUCCGGAUUUAUUGGGCGUAAAGAGCGUGUAGGCGGCCAGAUAGGUCUGCUGUGAAAACUCGAGGCUCAACCUCGAGAUGUCGGCGGAAACCAUUUGGCUAGAGUCCGGAAGAGGAAAGUGGAAUUCCUGGUGUAGCGGUGAAAUGCGCAGAUAUCAGGAAGAACACCAAUGGCGAAGGCAGCUUGCUGGGACGGUACUGACGCUGAGGCGCGAAAGCGUGGGGAGCAAACAGG